rnacentral:rRNA from 1 species
GAUGAACGCUGGCGGCGUGCUUAACACAUGCAAGUCGAACGAUUGAAGCUGGAGCUUGCUCCGGCCGAUUUAGUGGCGGACGGGUGAGUAACGCGUGGGUAACCUGCCUCAUACAGGGGGAUAGCAGUUGGAAACGACUGGUAAAACCGCAUAAGCGCACGGUAUCGCAUGAUACAGUGUGAAAACACUCCGGUGGUAUGAGAUGGACCCGCGUCUGAUUAGCUAGUUGGUGAGGUAACGGCCCACCAAGGCGACGAUCAGUAGCCGGCCUGAGAGGGUGAACGGCCACAUUGGGACUGAGACACGGCCCAAACUCCUACGGGAGGCAGCAGUGGGGAAUAUUGCACAAUGGGGGAGACCCUGAUGCAGCGACGCCGCGUGAGUGAUGAAGUAUUUCGGUAUGUAAAGCUCUAUCAGCAGGGAAGAUAAUGACGGUACCUGACUAAGAAGCAC